AACGUUGGUUGCAAUUUACUAGAACUUAGUAGCCUAAGUCUAGUUGCUACCUUUGUUUCAUUACUCCUUCAUUGGACCAUAACUUCAAAACAUCUAAGAAACCCUGGAUGGGCAGGAUAACAAAGCCCUAAAAAUUUUAGUUGUGUCGAUUGAGUCUAAGCAUUUGUAAAUUGCUUAGAUUUUUCGCACCAUGAAUCAGUUUAACUUGAUUCAUUUAUGGUGAUCUAGAUAGCUUCAUAUAGAAAAACGAAUAUUGGGUCUUUGAUUAUAUGAAAGAUUGUAAAGUGGGAAAAGCAUUUUGAGUUCAUUUUUCCUUUCCUUGUUGGCGGUUUGCACGUGAGUUCUGUGUAAGAUUCCUUUCUUUUAUUUAUUCCUAAUGUGCAUAUUGUCUUUGAUUAUAUGAAAGAUUGUAAAGUGGGAAAAGCAUUUUGAGUUCAUUUUUCCUUUCCUUGUUGGCGGUUUGCACAUGAGUUCUGGAUAAGAUUCCUUUCUUUUGUUUAUUCCUAAUGUGCAUAUUAUUUUCGUGAAAUGUCUUGCUGAUUCCCUUGCAAUUCAAUUCUUUCUCCUUCUCUCUCUAUAACUCCAAACCCCCAAACCAAGAUGAUUCUGGUUAUGCUUCAUGUAGUGAUAAUUUAGAUGAAAAUAUACCAUUGUCAUGGAUCUGGAGCCCAUGCCUAACAAGUCUCGGCAUAGAUUAGAAAAAUGGUGUUGCCAUUCAUUUGUCCAUUC
rnacentral:lncRNA from 1 species